GAUGAACGCUGGCGGCGUGCCUAAUACAUGCAAGUCGAGCGAACAGAUGAGGAGCUUGCUCCUCUGACGUUAGCGGCGGACGGGUGAGUAACACGUGGAUAACCUACCUAUAAGACUGGGAUAACUUCGGGAAACCGGAGCUAAUACCGGAUAAUAUAUUGAACCGCAUGGUUCAAUAGUGAAAGACGGUUUUGCUGUCACUUAUAGAUGGAUCCGCGCCGCAUUAGCUAGUUGGUAAGGUAACGGCUUACCAAGGCAACUAUGCGUAGCCGACCUGAGAGGGUGAUCGGCCACACUGGAACUGAGACACGGUCCAGACUCCUACGGGAGGCAGCAGUAGGGAAUCUUCCGCAAUGGGCGAAAGCCUGACGGAGCAACGCCGCGUGAGUGAUGAAGGUCUUCGGAUCGUAAAACUCUGUUAUUAGGGAAGAACAAAUGUGUAAGUAACUAUGCACGUCUUGACGGUACCUAAUCAGAAAGCAACGGCUAACUACGUG
rnacentral:rRNA from 1 species